rnacentral:misc_RNA from 1 species
CAGCAUAGUUUCCUUCAUGAUUAAUGCAAAAACAGUAUGUGUUACAUUCCACAUUACUUGUUUAAAAGGCAGCUUUUGGGGAGGACUGCCUCUUUUAUUUAUUUGUUCCACUCAAGUUCUAUUUAACACAACUAAUCACGUAUUACUAGCACCAAUCACCCAUACAAACACACUAAUACAGUACCAAAUCGAAGAUAACAAUGUAGAACCAUGCUUCACUGCUGCAUCUGCCUUUUACAGCUCCAACACAAGGUAGUCUGCGUCUGUUUUGAUCCAGUAUUCCCUGCUUCCAUUUGAGUCACUGCUGCUAAGAGUGAAGUGGGGUGGAUUAGAUUGACUCUUGUAGCGCCUUAUGCUCCGCUUUGAAAGGGUUCUCUGAGGAAGUACUGUGAUGUCUUCAUCUAGGAGUAUUUGACUUCCAUUGUUGUGUCCCCCAUUGUUGGUGCUCUUCUUAUUCUCAUUUUUCUGGGAUUUAUCUGCCUUCCGCGCUGAUGUUGAGCUUUCUGGGUGAACUUUCCUGUGGAACAUGUGUAGGAUCUUGUGCAGUUUUGUUUCUGCUGAAGCAGUAUCAACGGUUCCACCAGCAGUGGCAGCAGAGCUCCUAGAAGAAGCAUGGAGCAUUUUUUUCUUCAGCAUCUUUUUCAUGAGAUGCACAGCAGAUUUAUCAGCUUCCUUCUCUAUGCGCUUCUCAUCCCUUUCACAUUUACCCCCAGAAUUCUCUUCUGCUAUUUUAGCCCUCUGAAACAGCUCGCCGAGUGAUGUCCUGUGUUCCUUCUUUGCCACGGUUGUCGUUUCUGAUAAUUCAAUUGCUGACCCAAAUAGGUAUCCCUGGAGCGGACAGACUGUUGUUCCAUUCACAUUGGUCUCCUGGCCUUCCAUUGGCUUUCCGCUAAGGGUAAUAGUGCUACCCUGACUGCUUCUCCCUGCACUGACAUAACUGUUUCUUCCUGAUGAGUCAUUGCAACAAUCUUCUCUAGCUUCAGCUACCAGAACCUUCUCCAACUCGUCAUUGAUGAGCUUCAGUUCGUUUUCGGUUACUUCAGUCUCUUUUUCAGUGAUGUUCUCAACGGAGAUGGCAAAUGUUGGUGUUGAGGGUUCGGUAUUGAUUGGAUCUGAACCAAGGGUACCAAUUGCAAGAAAACCGUGGAAUAGCUCAGAUAUGGCAGCUGACGAUUCUUCUUCAUAGUCUUCCUCUUCUUCUUCUAUUCUUGCUGCUUCCAGACCAGCAAAAGAUUUUCGAAGGUGAUCUUUCUGUGCUUGCUUGAAUGAUCUGGUUCCAUAGUUUGGUUUUGAGUAGUAUUGUUGGUCGUCAAGGGAUGGCUGUCCUAUAAGACAAUUGCAAGCAUGACCAAUGGCAAAAUCCUUCAGCGGUUCACUGCUAUUCUGCCUGAACUUACGGUGCAUCCAACCUAGUAACUUCAUGUUCUUUCUCUCUUAGAAAACCCGAGCUUUGCUCACUUUGUCUAUGAUGAGAGGAUAGGAUAAUAGCUACUUUUCAUAAUCAGAAGUAGAACCGUUUACGAAUGAGAUAUCAGUUGCUCCUUGAAAGCCUCCAAUGCCUAAGAUGAAGGUAGCUGGAGAGAAACACAGAGAUAGUUAC